UUAUUCAUUUGCUUUUCACUUACAAAUUAUUAUUUUGAUGUGAUUUUUUAAUAACAUUCUGAAGGUUGGGCUUCACUGCAAGCUUAAUAUAAAUAUUUCUAAGAUUUUAGAAUUUUUACAACACAGAAAAAUGACUUUCAACGCAGGAAUCUCUAUUUUCAUACCUCAUGCUUGACUUUACUCUGAUUUGUGAAGAAGUAUUCCAAACAUUGUGCAUUGACGAAGCAGAUUAGCACGAAAAGCUUUUCAGUCAAACACACACACAGUCAUACCCCAGUGGGGAAAGGCUCGGCAUGUGAGAUUGAAAGCCGAGAUUUUCGGCACAAUACGGCAAGAGUUUUAAUUCAAAAGCAUCCGCGUAGUGGCGCAUAGUGCUUUGUCGUGAUUCUCGGCAUAUUUUCGGCAUUGUAGUGUUUUUGACAUGCUCGGUGAAAAUAGUGGCGUGGGUUCACGAAAAACCCAUUUUCAGUAAUUUUCCGCAGUUUUCCGGCAAUCUAUUCGCGUUGCUGUGUUGAAAGAUUUUGUUUGGACUUCUGAAGGACACCGUGCACAUCCGGAGCUAAAAUUUCAUCCUGUGUUGUACACUUGAAGAAUAGGGAAGUCGACAUGGAAAAGUAUUCUUGGAGCGAAAGAGUCGACAUAGAAGCGUACCAAGUGAGCAAGGUGGGAAACUACAAACAAGUCCAUCAUCAGGCCAUUUUUCUACUAGAGACUCCACAGAGCCUACAAGGAGCUUCUGAAAAGGCAAAAAUGAGCAAUCAGGAUAAGCGGGAUAUCUGGAAUUUCGUACAUUUUCACUACGACCGGGAGCCCGAUUCAAUAGUUUCUCUUAGGACAAUACAAAAUAGAACAAUGCAGGAUGAAAGCUUCGAAGGUGACUGACUGUAUUACACCGGAUAUUCCGAUCAUUGUCAGUCUUUAUUUCCCGUAGUACACCAUCAACGGAUAGUACAUCCAAUUUCUACUAAUGAAGCUCUGAUUUAGAGUUUGAGUUGUUAAGGACAUCUCCAGUAAAGCAGCAAAGGAAAACUAGGCGAAGAACAGCAUGUGGAAUGGUGAGAAAUUAAUUGUAAAUAAAAAUAGAAUAUUUUCUAAUAAAAAAUAAAUGAAAAUAAAAGAAAUUCGAGUUUUUUCAAUUUUCGGUUACAAAACGGUCGGAAUAUAAUUUUAAAUAGUUGCCGAGAACAUGCCGUGAUUCUCGUGCAUUGGACGUGCGCGAUUGAUGCCGAGAAUACAUCGGGCGUAUGCCGAGACCAAUGCCGAGAUUUCAUAUAAAAAUUUGUCCCACGCAUAUUCCAUUCAAUUAUUGAAACUCGGCAAGAUCUCGGCAUUGGUGGAUUUGCCGAGAUGCCAAGAUUUACGUGCCGAAAUCUUGCCGAGAAUCCCCACUGGGACAAAACUGACCAAAUUGGCUA